UACAGAGGUCUCGAGCGUUGUUCGGAUUCAUUGGGCGUAAAGGGUGCGUAGGUGGCUUGGUAAGUCGGAUGUGAAAUCCCGGGGCUCAACCCCGGAACUGCAUUCGAUACUGCUUUAGCUUGAGUCCUGGAGAGGAGAUCGGAAUUUACGGUGUAGCAGUGAAAUGCGUAGAUAUCGUAAGGAAGACCGGUGGCGAAGGCGGAUCUCUGGACAGGAACUGACACUGAGGCACGAAAGCUAGGGUAGCGAACGGG
rnacentral:rRNA from 1 species